UCCUGCCUGUUAUUCAUAAUUAUAUUUUGCUUGAAUUUAUUUGCAUCAGCAGAUGGAUGUAAACAUAGUACAAUACUACAUGUAUCACUAUGCUGGUAUAUGGUUUCUUGAGCUUUUACAGAAACCAUAUGUCUGUCUUAGGCAUUAAAUUCAGCAACGACCAAAGCAAUGUAAAUACUUUAAUUAAACAAUCCCCAAAUGAUUCGAACGGCAAUAGACUGUGAUAACAACAGAGGAAACAAUAGGUGUAUUCGGAAUCUGUUAUAUUCGUAGUAAUUAUUUACUCUUUUUACAACGAAUUCAGAAAUACACAAGAAAAUCGCGAACACAGCCUUUGCAAUGUCGUUGUAAAAUUUGUCGAACAGCUGAUUUUUGUGCAACAACAAAUAAACAAAAGUGAGAAAUAUGCCGCGAAAAAGCGAAAGAACUGAAAUAUUAGAUUUUAUUGUUGAUAACUGUGACGAUGCCGAUGAUGCAGCCGUCGAUGAUAUUUUAGACUGCUCUAUGGAAGAGGUGAUCAUUAUAUUGCAGUGCCGCCGAGGAAUUGAGAAAUUUAUUCCAAGAAGUAUAACUUGGCGUUUGGAUGUGUUAAGUGAACUGGAUGAUACCAGGUUGAAGCAAAUGUUAAGGGUGGAUCGAUUAUAAUUCACUCAUUUGGUUGGGUUAAUUAAAACAGAUGAGGUUUUUAAUCGACUUCACUCAUGCAAACAGUUUUCUAUAGAGUUGCAAGUUGCAGUUGUGUUAUACAGACUUGGGGCUUACGGUGAAAAUGCUUCCAUAAGGAAAAUAGCAUCUAUUUUUGGAAUUGGCGAUGGAAGCACAAUUGGCGUUGUAACAGAAAGAGUAUUUAAAGCUUUCCAACGAUUAGAGAGAAAAAUUAUAUUUUGGCCAGAUUACGCUGAAAGAAAUUUAAUAGUUUCCCAAACGUUCAACGAACUUCCAUAUUGCAUUGGUUACGUAGAUGGAACAGAGAUUGCUCUUGCCGAAGCGCCCGUCCAUAACCACAAGACGUAUUUUUCUAAAAAUCGCCGUUACUCUAUAAAAGCUCAAGUGGUUUGUGACCACAAAUGCAGAAUUCGACAUAUUGUAGUGGGUCAUGAUUUCAGUGGUUAGCAGGUGACUCAACUUAUCCGAUUUCCAAAACGUUAAUAACACCAUAUCGAAGCAACUCAAAGCAAUUGGACAUACAAAAACCCAAUGAAUUUAAUCGACGCCAUAGUAAGUAUCGCGUACGAAUUGAAAAUUGUUUUGGGUUGUUAAAAGAGAAAUUUAGUAGUCUAAAGGAGCUCAGAAUGCGAAUUUAAAACAGAGCAAGUCACAAAUUUUAUUGUGAUUGGUUUCGAGUCUGCUGCAUUUUGCACAAUAUUUUAUUAAACCAAAAGGAAAUAGAGACAAUAUCUGUCGAUCAAGAAAAUCGAGAACCAAACCAACUAGAAGAAGAAUUCCAAACUAAAGCUCCAGUUACCGCUGCUUGACUUGGCUCAGCUUCGAAAAAUUUGGCUUGGAAAACUUAGAUGCAGUUAUACUUCACACAACUUCAACAUCAGCUGUUAUUAUUAUAGUUUCUGGGUAGAGUUGCCAGAUGUGCAGAUUUAGCUUUAAAACUAAGUUUUUUAAAUUAAAAUAUCACCAAGAUUGAAGAUUUUAAAACUAGUAUAAAAAAAAAAUCUUCACUAUUAGGAAAUCUGUGAACACGUGAAGAUUUUCUGUUUGAAAGAAAACUCUUUAAUAAAUAUGUAUAUGAAUAUAGCUUUGAGCAGAGUAGCACAAAAGAAACGUGCACGCGUAGUUCAGUUUUUCUACAUUUAGAAUUGUUAGAAGAUGUAAUAAAUUGGAGCCAGCCAAGCGUAUAAAUGAUAGGUGAAUAAAUAAUUUAUUCAAAUUGCAUUUGAACAUUUACAAUCAAUUUUUCAUUACAUAAAUUCGCAAAAUAUUUUUUUUCUGAGCAGAUCACCACAAAUUCUUGCAGAGAUUCGCAAUAGUUAUGUUUCUGUUGCAAAAAUUACCCUCAUAUCGUACCUAUUUUAUUUGAUUUGUUUAUUGCACUUAAAAUUAAGCAAGUAUUUGCGUUAUAAAUAAUAGUGUCAUAAUGAGAAUGAAAAGAGAAGCAGUGAGAGAGGGACAGCAGUUCAAAUGUCAACGUAACUUAGAGUUCUAAAUUCAUCA